CCACCAGAUUGCUUCAUAAUAAGUCUCCUCAUGAAAUUUUGUAUGGGAAAAUUCCAUCCUAUACUCACUUGAGGACUUUUGGUUGCCUUGCCUAUGCCAGUGUUCCCAUCCCUCAAAGGGACAAGUUAAAGCCAAGAGUCAUUCCUUGUGUUUUUCUGGAUUAUCCUUUUGGCAAGAAGGGUUAUAGGCUGUAUGAUCUUGCAUCUAAGAAGUAUUUGGUCUCCAGGGAUGUUCUCUUUCAUGAAUCAGUUUUUCCUUUUAAAUCUGUGUCUUCUUCUGCUUCUCCUCCUGUAUGGGAAAAUUCCAUCCUAUACUCACUUGAGGACUUUUGGUUGCCUUGCCUAUGCCAGUGUUCCCAUCCCUCAAAGGGACAAGUUAAAGCCAAGAGUCAUUCCUUGUGUUUUUCUGGAUUAUCCUUUUGGCAAGAAGGGUUAUAGGCUGUAUGAUCUUGCAUCUAAGAAGUAUUUGGUCUCCAUGGAUGUUCUCUAUCAUGAAUCAGUUUUUCCUUUUAAAACUGUGUCUUCUUCUGCUUCUCCUCCUGCUUCCUCUUUUCCCUUUAUUCCAUCUGGAGAACAUGAUGAUGCCUCUGAUUCUCCCAUUCCUCUCUAUCCUCCCUCUUCUCCCUCUGGUCCUACUCCUUCCAGUCCUGCUGGUCCACCUUCUGUUUUAGUUCCUUCUUCCACUGUUCUCUGGUCCUACUCCUUCCAGUCCUGCUAGUCCACCUUUUGUUUUAGUUCCUUCUUCCUCUGUUCCUGCUCCAAGAAAGUCUCAAAGAUAACAUAAUCCUCCUUCCUAUCUUCAGGAUUAUGUUUGUCAACUCCCUGCCUUCUCUGGCUCAUGUUCCUCCUCUUUGGAAUCUGAGCCUCUAUACUAUUCCCAGGCUGCAUCUGUUCCAGCUUGGCAAGCUGCCAUGAGACAGGAGUUUGAAGCUUUGGACACUNNNN
rnacentral:lncRNA from 1 species